CUGAGUGACAGACUGACUCAAUAAUGUGGACAUGUCUCGACUGACUGAAUGCAGCACCGCAAUCUGUAACUUACUCUGUUUAGAACGGGAGAAGUUGUUGUGCUAUAUAUUUUAUUUUAAAGACUGCAGAAAGGUGGAAAAGAAGCAAAUAUAGAUCGCUGCAAUUUGCUGAAACGUGGACGUGCGCUAGCCAUUCCAUGUCAGACUCAGCGUGGCCAUGAUGAACCUGUGCCCAAAGAAGUAACAAUGAUGGCUCUUCUGCAACAACAUCCCAAAUUCCCCAACAUCAUUCAAAUGUUUGAGUGGUUUGGUUUGACUACUCAGAUCAUAUAAGAAUUGUUAUGGAGUACCCUUGCCCCUGCACCGUACUGAAAACAUGACUUAAUAAUCAUGCUUUCAACAACGAAAAAAUCAGGCAACACAAGCAGUGUAAUACUGCCUUGACCAUGGGGUUUUCCACAGCGACAUUCACGCAUGCAACAUACUGGUCAACCCAAGCACCACAGAUAUCAAUCUGAACAACGUGCGAGAAAGAGAAGGGACAAAAAGAUCGUUGUCUUUGAAUAUGGAAUGCCAUAAAGCGUCCCUUCGGUCUACAGCGUAUGGUGAAAAAGUUGCAAGAUGAGCUCAUCCCAUCAUGUGCUUAUUGUCUCGAGCUGACUGAUAAAAAAUGAAAGUCUCUCUAUGAAGAAGGACAUUAUCAAGAACAAGGAGCCUUUGGAAGAGUCUUUGUGUCACAGUUUACAGUGUAUAGAUUGUCAUUUAAUCUUUUGUUAUAAUCAUUGUUUUCUUCAUUAGAGGUUGCUGUCAAAGUCAUAAACAAACGUGAAAAUGACCUGUAUCUAACUAUUGUAAGUUCUUUGAAUAUAGUGAUUUUCUAUUUAGUUAUUUAAUUGCCUGUGAUAUGAUACAAUUAGCAUUAACCUGUAGUUAACAAGUAGACACAAUUUGCUUACUAUGCCUUAAAAGAACAUGCUGUUAUAGAACAUUUUAAUUUCCAAUAAUAUUUAGUACGUAUGGUAUGUGAAUUUGGACGCAGGGAUAAAAAUAGACUGAAGCAGACAAUAUAGCCUAGAUUCCCACAGAGCUUUGAUUGUAUCUGAAAGAAUAAAAUUGAACGUCUAUCA